rnacentral:rRNA from 1 species
CGGACAUAGAAUAUUUGCCUAAUUCCUUAAAAGGAAUUAAACACCCAAAAAAUAAAAUAAAUAAAAAAUUUACUAAUUCCACAAUAAUUACUAAACAAAAAAAAAUAAAGAAAACAUCCCAAUAAAAAAAUUAAACCCAAAUAAAAUAGAAAAAAGAAAAAACAAAAUUUUAACAUAAUCAAAUUGAAAAUCACCAUAAAAUCCACAAAACUAGAUAAAAACAAAAAUUAUAAGAAUAAAAAGAAGAGCUAAUCCCCCUCAAUCUUAACGCCAAAUAAAAAAAUGUAAACAAAAAAUUAAACAAACUAAAUAAGACGCAUGAAUUAAAUUCAUUUCUCGGAAAACCAGAAACCAC